GCCAGCAUGUUCUAGUGGUCUGAGUAUUGACUACGAUUCUGGAGGCCAGGGUUCGAAUCCAUGCUCGGCU